GAGGGUAUAGCUCUGUGGUAGAGUGCAUGCCUAGCAUGCAUGAGGUUCUAGAUUCAAUUCCCCAGUACCUCCA
rnacentral:tRNA from 1 species